rnacentral:rRNA from 1 species
CACGUAGGGGGCGAGCGUUGUCCGGAUUUAUUGGGCGUAAAGAGCUCGUAGGCGGCUUUGUCAGUCGGGUGUGAAACCUCCAGGCUCAACCUGGAGCCGCCACCCGAUACUGCAAUAGCUAGAGUCCGGUAGGGGAGCAUGGAACUCCUGGUGUAGCGGUGAAAUGCGCAGAUAUCAGGAAGAACACCAGUGGCGAAGGCGGUGCUCUGGGCCGGAACUGACGCUGAGGAGCGAAAGCGUGGGGAGCGAACAGG